rnacentral:rRNA from 1 species
AGAAUCAACGCUGGCGGCGUGCCUCAGACAUGCAAGCCGAACGCGAAAGUCCCCUUCGGGGGGCGAGUAGAGUGGCGCACGGGUGAGUAACACGUAGGUAAUCUACCUUUGGAUGGGGAAUAACAAUCGGAAACGGUUGCUAAUACCGCAUAAUGCAGCGGCACCUGAUGGUGACAGUUGUUAAAGCGGGGGAUCGAAAGACCUCGCGUCUGAAGAGGAGCCUGCGGCGGAUUAGCUAGUUGGUAAGGUAACGGCUUACCAAGGCGACGAUCCGUAG